CCUACGGGUGGCAGCAGUGGGGAAUAUUGGACAAUGGGCGAAAGCCUGAUCCAGCCAUGCCGCGUGUGUGAAGAAGGCCUUCGGGUUGUAAAGCACUUUCAGUGGGGAAGAAAGCCUUGGGGCUAAUACCCUCGAGGAAGGACAUCACCCACAGAAGAAGCACCGGCUAACUCCGUGCCAGCAGCCGCGGUAAUACGGAGGGUGCGAGCGUUAAUCGGAAUUACUGGGCGUAAAGCGCGCGUAGGCGGUCUGAUAAGCCGGUUGUGAAAGCCCCGGGCUCAACCUGGGAACGGCAUCCGGAACUGUCAGGCUGGAGUGCAGGAGAGGAAGGUAGAAUUCCCGGUGGAGGAGUGAAAUGCGUAGAGAACGGGAGGAAUACCAGUGGCGAAGGCGGCCUUCUGGACUGACACUGACGCUGAGGUGCGAAAGCGUGGGUAGCAAACAGGAUUAGAUACCCCAGUAGUC
rnacentral:rRNA from 1 species